ACUGGAUAGUGAACGAUUAUUGUAAUGGUACCGAUUGCUGUCAGGUUACAAUACCUUCAUCCCUUCAGGUUUUCGAUCCAAAAUUACGGGACAUAGAUGAUAAUCAAAGCACAGAUGGUUGCCAGCUGGCAUUUCUAGCAGGAACAUAUGAAGUAGAUUCCUGGACAGAAAAGGAUCGCAAUGUCCAGUUUCCGAUGGUGCUAGAUUGGGUAAUCAAUUCUACCCUAAGGGAAGAUUAUCAAAGGACGAUGAAUUCCAGCCA
rnacentral:misc_RNA from 1 species